CUAUUAUGCACAAAAUAGGGGUGGUGGUGGUGAGAAGAAGGACAUUCAGGAGUGGAUGCUGACAAGUCACACGGGGAGGAGAGAGUCUACUCAAAAACACUGGGAUGAAGCAAAGGAGGAUGCAUCUGGACUAAACUACAAUUGAGCCGAUGAAAAAUAGCUUGAAAAUUAUCUAAUAUCCGAC